GACGAACGCUGGCGGCGUGCUUAACACAUGCAAGUCGAACGAAGUGGCGAACGGGUGAGUAACACGUUGGUAACCUACCCUUCAGAGGGGGACAACAGUUGGAAACGACUGAUAAUACCGCAUACUGAAGGAGGGGCUUGCGACUGAUUAGCUAGUUGGAGGGGUAACGGCCCACCAAGGCGAGGAUCAGUAGCCGGUCGGCGAGGAUGAACGGCCACAGUGUGACUGAGACACGGCCCAGACUCCUACGGGCGGCAGCAGUGGUGAAUCGUCCGCAAUGGACGAAAGUCUGACGGAGCAACGCCGCGUGAGUGAUGACGGCCUUCGGGUUGUAGAGCUCUGUUAAUCGGGACGCGGUACCGGAAUAGAAAGCCACGGCUAACUACGUGCCAGCCGCCGCGGUAAUAC
rnacentral:rRNA from 1 species